rnacentral:tRNA from 1 species
GGCGCCGUACCCAAGUGGUAAGGGAGCGGUCUGCAAAACCGUUACACAACAGUUCGAUUCUGUUCGGCGCCU